AUAUUUGCCUUUCUGUUCAUGGCUUACUUCACUUAACAUAAUGUCCUCUAGAUUCAUCUGUGUUGUCCCAAAUGACAGACUUGCUUUCUUUUUCCAGGCUGAGUAAUACUCCUUUGUUUCUUUACUGGAAGGGAUAUCAGAUACUCUAAUCCCAUAAUGCCUCAGGGGAACCAGAGUGGUGGAAACAUUAAAUGGUAUGUCUGAUGAGAAGCUGUGCUUUACAUGAAUCAUUGACUAAAAAAAGAACAGGAACAUAAAUUCUGAAGCAUGCAUGAAUGGUAAGCUGUAAAAAACGGCCGUCAGUUUUCCUUGGAAAAUAGGCACUUAAUAUCAAUAUUUGGAAAUCAUUACUGCUUGAAUAUCAUUGGUAUAGACCUGCCAACAUUAAAAUUACCUGGUACAUUUGAUUAAUGGUGUAGAUUGAGAAGUGCACAUGGAGAAAUAACUGUGCCAUAAUUUUGGGAAAGGUUGCCUUAAAUCGCAAUCAGAAAAAAAUCACCCAUGAGACAAUAUAUAAUAAUGACCCUUAAGAAACAGCUAAUAAAAUUAUGAAAAUGCCAUGCAGGGU